rnacentral:rRNA from 1 species
AUUGAACGCUGGCGGCAGGCCUAACACAUGCAAGUCGAGCGGAUGAAGGGAGCUUGCUCCUGGAUUCAGCGGCGGACGGGUGAGUAAUGCCUAGGAAUCUGCCUGGUAGGGGGGGAUAACGUCCGGAAACGGGCGCUAAUACCGCAUACGUCCUGAGGGUGAAAGUGGGGGAGCUUCGGACCUCACGCUCUCAGAUGAGCCUAGGUCGGAUUAGCUAGUUGGUGGGGUAAAGGCCUACCAAGGCGACGAUCCGUAACUGGUCUGAGAGGAUGAUCAGUCACACUGGAACUGAGACACGGUCCAGACUCCUACGGGAGGCAGCAGUGGGGAAUAUUGGACAAUGGGCGAAAGCCUGAUCCAGCCAUGCCGCGUGUGUGAAGAAGGUCUUCGGAUUGUAAAGCACUUUAAGUUGGGAGGAAGGGCAGUAAGUUAAUACCUUGCUGUUUUGACGUUACCAACAGAAUAAGCACCGGCUAACUUCGUG